UGAAUGCUUGCACGUGUUGUUUGUUGU
rnacentral:sRNA from 1 species